UGUCCUGCCACUGCAGUGGCAGGAUUUGGACCAUGAGGCCAGGGCUAGUACAAACAGCCUGUGACCCCACAACAUGGAGACUGGGCAUCUCCUGGGUCACGGAAGACCUGGGGACUGGCUCAGCCAUGGACCUUUCCUUGCUCUGCAGGGGGCAGCUGGCACUUGAGGGACGAAAUCCCAUCGACAGAAGGAAGCACUGCUAAGGCAAAUGUAGUAAGGGAGGGA